GGUGUAUUUAUAACGAUGUUACUGAUGUUGUUGCGUUAAUACCAUGAUGAAUCUCUUAAGUUGUUGUUUAUUAGCAGCACUGAUCCUCGGAAUUCAGUCUACAACAGAAGAAGAACGGACUAAAUUGGAAGAGCUACGCGAAGAAUGCUUGAGUAAAGCCGGAAUAUCUCAUAAAAUAAAUCCUUCAUUGCAGGAAAAACAAAUUUACAGCCUGUGUUUUGCCAAAAAGAUCGGUUUUAUUAGCGAAUCCGGUGACAUUUUAACCGACGAGGUAAAAGCAAAAUUGAAGAAAAAGAUUAAUGAUGACAAUAAAGUAAGUGAGAUCCUAAAAAAAUGUCCCGUUCAGAAGGACACUUGAUGGAAUGUUUGAGUACAGAAACUCCUUGAAAUAAUUAUGGUUGCAAUAAACUGAGACAAUAUUUCAGUUAAUUGAGUAGUGUAUAUGUAGCAUUUUUUAUAGGAAAAUAAAAAACGCGUUUUAUCAAUCUCAA